GCCAUCAACCAAUCGCAAGUAAAAGCCAGAAAAAGAAAAUACAAUGUGGAAGAUAGGCAAAAAGAAUGUGAAUUUGGAAAAAGGCAAAAUUUGGAAAAAGGCAAAAUUUGGAAAAGAAAAGAAAAUAAAAUAAAAUAAAUUUAACUAAUAUUAUUAAUCACAUCCCUAAAAUCUCUCUAACUCCCCACUAACCCGAACCUACAAUUUUAGAAUUCCAGCCCCACCAAAACUCUG
rnacentral:lncRNA from 1 species